GACGAACGCUGGCGGCGUGCUUAACACAUGCAAGUCGAACGGAAAGGCCUGCUUUCCCUUGUGGAUUGCGGGUACUCGAGUGGCAAACGGGUGAGUAACACGUGAGUGAUCUGCCCCCAACUUGGGUAUAAGCCUGGGAAACUGGGUCUAAUUCCCGAUAGGACUGCAGGGUGGUGCCUGUGGUGGAAAACGAUUUUCUAGUGGUUGGGGAUGAGCUCGCGGCCUAUCAGCUUGUUGGUGGGGUAAUGGCCUACCAAGGCGGCGACGGGUAGCCGGCCUGAGGGGGUGGACGGCCACAUUGGGACUGAGAUACGGCCCAGACUCCUACGGGAGGCAGCAGUGGGGAAUAGUGCACAAUGGGCGGAAGCCUGAUGCAGCGACGCCGCGUGGGGGAUGACGGCCUUCGGGUGGUAAACUCCUUUCGACCGCGAGGAAGCCACCUGGUUGGAAGGGUGGUGACGGUAGUGGUAGAAGAAGCACCGGCUAACUACGUG
rnacentral:rRNA from 1 species